UACAGAGGUCUCAAGCGUUGUUCGGAUUCAUUGGGCGUAAAGGGCGCGUAGGCUGCGGGGCAAGUCGGGUGUGAAAUCUCAGAGCUCAACUCUGAAACUGCACUCGAUACUGCUUUGCUCGAGGACUGGAGAGGAGAUUGGAAUUCACGGUGUAGCAGUGAAAUGCGUAGAUAUCGUGAGGAAGACCAGUGGCGAAAGGCGGAUCUGCUGGACAGUUCCUGACGGCUGAGGCGCGAAGGCCAGGGGAGGCAAACGGG
rnacentral:rRNA from 1 species